AGUGAACGCUGGCGGUAGGCCUAACACAUGCAAGUCGAACGGCAGCACAGUAAGAGCUUGCUCUUACGGGUGGCGAGUGGCGGACGGGUGAGGAAUACAUCGGAAUCUACUUUUUCGUGGGGUAUAACGUAGGGAAACUUACGCUAAUACCGCAUACGACCUACGGGUGAAAGCAGGGGAUCUUCGGACCUUGCGCGAUUGACUGAGCCGAUGUCGGAUUAGCUAGUUGGCGGGGUAAAGGCCCACCAAGGCGACGAUCCGUAGCUGGUCUGAGAGGAUGAUCAGCCACACUGGAACUGAGACACGGUCCAGACUCCUACGGGAGGCAGCAGUGGGGAAUAUUGGACAAUGGGCGCAAGCCUGAUCCAGCCAUACCGCGUGGGUGAAGAAGGCCUUCGGGUUGUAAAGCCCUUUUGUUGGGAAAGAAAAGCAGCAGGUUAAUACCCAGCUGUUCUGACGGUACCCAAAGAAUAAGCACCGGCUAACUUCGUG
rnacentral:rRNA from 1 species